AUGAAAAAUGCAAGCAAGAUUUGGGGAGGGAUUUUCUCUAUUGUAACAAGGAAGAAUUAUCUACUCCAUCCGACUAGUUCCGGGUUCGAGUCCCGGGUGUUGGAAAUAUGCCCUAGAGGCAAUAAUAAAUUAGUUAUUAUUAUAUUUCCUUGUUCAUGA
rnacentral:rRNA from 1 species